rnacentral:rRNA from 1 species
CUUGAGCUAAUACCGUAUGUGCCCUUUGGGGGAAAGAUUUAUCGGUAAAGGAUCGGCCCGCGUUGGAUUAGCUAGUUGGUGGGGUAAAGGCCUACCAAGGCGACGAUCCAUAGCUGGUCUGAGAGGAUGAUCAGCCACAUUGGGACUGAGACACGGCCCAAACUCCUACGGGAGGCAGCAGUGGGGAAUAUUGGACAAUGGGCGCAAGCCUGAUCCAGCCAUGCCGCGUGAGUGAUGAAGGCCCUAGGGUUGUAAAGCUCUUUCACCGAUGAAGAUAAUGACUGUAGUCGGAGAAGAAGCCCCGGCUAACUUCGUGCCAGCAGCCGCGGUAAUACGAAGGGGGCUAGCGUUGUUCGGAAUUACUGGGCGUAAAGCGCACGUAGGCGGAUAUUUAAGUCAGGGGUGAAAUCCCGGGGCUCAACCCUGGAACUGCCUUUGAUACUGGGUAUCUGGAGUAUGGAAGAGGUAAGUGGAAUUCCGAGUGUAGAGGUGAAAUUCGUAGAUAUUCGGAGGAACACCGGUGGCGAAG